AUGAAUACCUCCGUAUUGGUGA
rnacentral:siRNA from 1 species